CUAAUUAAAUUAUGGCGGGAACCCAGCUCGGACGAAUGCCUUUUUUACUUUAGGUCCUUGCCUCCUCGUUUUGGUAAAAAGGGUCAUCCCUGUAUCAAACCGAGUUUCCAAGCAGCCGUAGGCCUGGUAGUUUAUUUGGGAUGAUCGGAUGGGCUCGGGUGCUUUUUGUUGCUUGCACUUUGAGUAAUGUUAAUAGGAACAGUCGGGGUUAUCGUAUUUAGGAGCUAGAGGUGAAUUUUUGGAUUUCCGAAAGACGACGUCCAGCGAAGCCAUUUACCAACCAUGUUUUCUUUAUUCAGGAACGAAAUUCUGGGGAUCGAAGAUGAUUGAAUCCCUUGGUAUUUUGGCCCGUAAACGAUGCCGACUUGCGAUUCCGGGCGGCUUGUAUUGGGCUUCCGCACCAGCCCAUGAGAAAUCAAAGUUUUUGGGUUCCGGGGGGAGUAUGUUCCAAAGGCUAAAACUAAAAGGAACUGAGGGAGGGCCGCCACCAGGAUUGGACCUUGCGGAUUAAUUGGACUCACCCCGGAAAAACUUACCAGGUCCAGUAAUAGGUAGGAUCACCAGAUUAAGAGCCCUUUCUGGAUUUAAGGGGGGUUGGCCCAUGGCCGUUCUUAGUUGGUGGAAUGAUUGGUGGGGUAAAUCCGGUUAAGGAAGGAGCCUUGGCCUUACUAAUUACCCGGGCGUAUGGGGCCAAAGGUGUUGGGGGUUUUUUGAAGGGCCACUUCCGGUUUAGGAGAAGGAAUUUGGAGGUAUCACCAGUUGUGGGAAGCCCUUCAAUGUCCGGGCCGCCAUGCCCGUACCUGUUAUGGGUUCCCCGGGCGUUGUAGUGUUUACGCGCGGCGUUGCUUUGUCGGAAGGCAUGGCUAAUCCUUUGAACGCCCAUCGUGCUGGGGCUAGAUUUUUGCAAUUAUUAAUCUCCAACGAGGAAUUCCUAGUAAACGCAAGUCAUCAGCUUGCAUUGAAUACGUCCCUGCCCUUUGUACACACCGCCCGUCGCACCUACCGAUUGAACGGUCCGAUGAAACCAUGGGACUACCUUUUGAGCGUUUGUUCGCGAUGGAGGUGGGAACUCGGGUGAAUCUUACUGUGAGGAAAAG
rnacentral:rRNA from 1 species